GUCAUUUUUGUAAUCCUCAAUACUAUAUUUAGAGAUGAUAAAAUAAGAAAAAUUGAGGAUAAAAUGCAAGCCCAAUUAGAAGAUCUAAAAAGUUUCUUACAGGAUCAAUUGGCAAACACCCACUCUACCAGAAACAGACCUGUUUCUGAACCUUUGAAUGAGGAAAUUUCCUUCCCUGAAAUAGAGAUGGAAAACACCUUCCCUAUAGCCCAGUUAACAGACUGCUUCUCUCGUGUAGUGCAAAUCUUGUCUGAAUUUAAUCCCCAAAACCCUUCCCCUGCAAUCCCAGCUUCUCAUGUUCCUUCUCCUACAGAAAACCAAAUUCCAAUGCAAGGGAGAUCUUGUCCUCCUAGAGAAACCUGUCCUUGUCAAACUGACCCACAGGUACAAAAUUCAACUAGAGGCCUGUUUCCUCUAAGAGAAGUACCUGAAAUAGGACGGAAUGGGGAUGUGGUGACUUUAAGACAUAAGAUACCGUUUACUCCCCAAGAAAUAAAUGAAUUUACACGAAAUAUCCCCACAUAUGAACAAGAUCCUUUUCUAGUAACAAAAAAGAUGGGAGACAUAUUUUUUCAGUAUAAUCCAUCUUACAAGGACGUUGAGAGCUUACUCCAGGCUUUUUUAAGUGAACGUGAAAAAAAUAAAAUAAUUGCUCAUGUCAACAAAACCCGGGGGCGUAAUGCAGCACAUUGGCCAUCUCAGGAUCCCGAAUGGGACUAUAACAAUCCUGAGGAUUAUCUACAACUAUACCGUUGUAGAGAGGCCAUCCUCACGGCCAUGAAGGAAUGUGCAGACAGUACAGAUAAGUGGAUGGAACUGGAAAAAAUUAAGCAAAAGGACGAAGAAACACCCUCCAGAUUUAUGGACAGAAUUAUCGAGUUUGGGGACAGAUACUUAGAUUGGGAUUUAACUAAAGAGAGUAGUUUAAGACAAGUUAGGAGAAUCUUUGUAAACAAUUCUUGCAAAGCAAUUAAAAAUUAUUUUAAAACACAAUGCCUAAGAUGGUCAGAUAUGGACCUUGAAGAAUUGCGAAAAACAGCUAUAUAUGUUUUAAAGGGAAACGAAGAAAAGGAGAAAGAAAAUAAUGAUGACAUGGAGGAAAUGAAGAAAAAAUGAGAUGUGUAAUAGAUAGGAUAACUAAAUUAGAAAGUGGGC
rnacentral:lncRNA from 1 species